ACGUAUGGGGCAAGCGUUGUUCGGAAUUAUUGGGCGUAAAGGGCGUCUAGGCGGGGGAUUAAGUUAGAUGUGAAAGCUAUGGGCUCAACCCAUAAACUGCAUCUAAGACUGGUUCUCUUGAGUCCGGGAGAGGAGAGCGGAAUUCCAGGUGUAGCGGUGAAAUGCGUAGAUAUCUAGAGGAACGCCAGUGGCGAAAGCGGGGCACUGGGCCUUACCUGACGCUGAGGCGCGAAAGCGUGGGUAGCAAACGG
rnacentral:rRNA from 1 species